rnacentral:rRNA from 1 species
CCCUUAGAGUUUGAUCCUGGCUCAGGAUGAACGCUAGCGGCAGGCCUAACACAUGCAAGUCGAGGGGUAGAGGGUGCUUGCACCCUUGAGACCGGCGCACGGGUGCGUAACGCGUAUGCAACCUACCUAUUGCAGGGGAAUAGCCCAGGGAAACUUGGAUUAAUGCCCCAUAGUCUAUAAUGAGAGCAUUUGAUUUAUAGUAAAGAUUUAUCGGCAAUAGAUGGGCAUGCGUACCAUUAGCUAGUUGGUGUGGUAACGGCACACCAAGGCAACGAUGGUUAGGGGCCCUGAGAGGGGGAUCCCCCACACUGGUACUGAGACACGGACCAGACUCCUACGGGAGGCAGCAGUGAGGAAUAUUGGACAAUGGGCGGGAGCCUGAUCCAGCCAUGCCGCGUGCAGGAAGACUGCCCUAUGGGUUGUAAACUGCUUUUUUACGGGAAGAAACACCCCCACGUGUGGGGGCUUGACGGUACCGUACGAAUAAGGAUCGGCUAACUCCGUGCCAGCAGCCGCGGUAAUACGGAGGAUCCGAGCGUUAUCCGGAAUCAUUGGGUUUAAAGGGUCCGUAGGCGGGCGUCUAAGUCAGUGGUGAAAUUCUGCAGCUCAACUGUAGGACUGCCAUUGAUACUGGUCGCCUUGAAUCGUUGUGAAGUGGCUAGAAUAUGUAGUGUAGCGGUGAAAUGCUUAGAUAUUACAUAGAAUACCGAUUGCGAAGGCAGGUCACUAACAACGCAUUGACGCUGAUGGACGAAAGCGUGGGGAGCGAACAGGAUUAGAUACCCUGGUAGUCCACGCCGUAAACGAUGGAUACUAGCUGUCCGGCCUGCAUUGGUAGGCUGGGUGGCCAAGCGAAAGUGAUAAGUAUCCCACCUGGGGAGUACGUUCGCAAGAAUGAAACUCAAAGGAAUUGACGGGGGCCCGCACAAGCGGUGGAGCAUGUGGUUUAAUUCGAUGAUACGCGAGGAACCUUACCAGGGCUUAAAUGUAGUCUGACAGGGGUGGAAACACCCUUUUCUUCGGACAGAUUACAAGGUGCUGCAUGGUUGUCGUCAGCUCGUGCCGUGAGAUGUUGGGUUAAGUCCCGCAACGAGCGCAACCCUUGUCUUAUGUUGCCAGCGCGUUAUGGCGGGGACUCGUAAGAGACUGCCGGGGUCAACUCGGAGGAAGGUGGGGAUGACGUCAGGUCAUCAUGGCCCUUACGGCCAGGG